rnacentral:rRNA from 1 species
CGAUAGCUAAUCCCGCAUAAUAUUAAUUAUUGCAUGAUAAUUGAUUGAAAGAUGCAAGCGCAUCACUAGUAGAUGGACCUGCGUUGUAUUAGCUAGUUGGUAAGGUAAGAGCUUACCAAGGCGACGAUACAUAGCCGACCUGAGAGGGUGAUCGGCCACACUGGGACUGAGACACGGCCCAGACUCCUACGGGAGGCAGCAGUAGGGGAUCUUCGGCAAUGGACGAAAGUCUGACCGAGCAACGCCGCGUGAGUGAAGAAGGUUUUCGGAUCGUAAAGCUCUGUUGUAAGUCAAGAAUGUGUGUGAGAGUGGAAAGUUCACACAGUGACGUAGCUACCAGAAAGGACGCA